UUAGUGAUAAUUUUUCAAAACUCUUUAGAUUCUGGAGUAGUUCCUGAGGACUGGUGGGUAGCUAAUGUAACCCCACUUUUUAAAAAGAGAGCGAGAUAGAACACGGGGAAUUACUGACCAGUUAGUCUAACAUCGGUGGUGGGGAAACUCCUUGAGUCAUUGAAACAUAGAAAAUAGGUGCAGGAGUAGGCCAUUCGGC